AACAAUAUGAUAGUUGUCAUUUAUCAAAUGGUUACUUGUGCUAGUUUAUAUCCACUCACUUUAUUUUAUUUUAUUUUAAGACAGGGUUUUGCUCUUAUGCACAGGCUGAAGUGCAGUCGCUUAAUCUUGGCCCACUGCCGCCUCAACUUCCCAGGCUCAGAUGAUUCUCCCCCUUCAGCAUCCCGAGUAACUGGGACUACAGGUGUUAAUCCCAAGGACAAUUCUUCAAGAAGAUCCUAAACAACAAACUCUGUCUCAGAAUCUGCUUCCCAGAAAAUCCAACCAGCGAUUUUUAAAGCUAUGCAAUGAACAAAUUCUGGGGGAGGGGCAUAUAUCCAUCAAGUAUUUUGUAUUGGAUGGCUUUAUUUUAUUUAGGUACCUGUGCAAAAUUUCUGGCAUUAUCAGGUUUUUUAAAAGUGGGUAUUUGUUAUUUGUGUCAUCAGAUAAAAAUACUAAAGCAGUUUUUAUUUCAAAAAAUAAAAAGUAAAUGGUUUGGUUUUAGUCUGUGUUGAAAAACACGCUCUUUGAAUGAAGAGACCUUUGAAACAGGCUUUGUGUGAGCAACAUGGCUGUUUAUUUACCUGGGUGCAGGCGGGCUAAGGCCGAAAAGGGCUUUAGCAAAGGGCAGUGGGAUAGGAGUUGGUUUUAUAGGUUUGGGUAGUUUUUUGGGGGUGGGGGUGUUGCAGAGUAAGUUCAGUUACAGUGGUGGGGGUAGGGGCAAGGAGUAUACAUGACCACAAGUUCAGUUACACUGGCGGGUGGGGUGAGAGAUAUUUACAUUAUCAUAAGAACAGUUAAGUUGGCAGGGUUGGGUGAGGGGCUUGUCUGGGGAAGCUCUGAUGGGUGAUCAGGGACAGUGGCGAAUGCAGGCAGGGAGUGGGAGACAUCAGCUGAGGCAAGCAAGACUUCAGACUUUCAGGCUCCAGGCUUGCACAUGGAGACCUGACAGUCCGGUCUAAAGUAGACUCCAAAGCGUCUGUAUCAAAAUGGCAGCAUCAACCCAUCUGGCAUGGAUCCUUCUUAAUGAGGAGGUAAGCUUUGCAAACACCCCUCUUGUUCAUACCCUUCCUACUACUCUAGGUGUUCAAUCUGGUGGAAGUUUUGGUACUUCUACCACAUUGUUGAAGCCCUGUUGAGGUUGACUGUGAGGUGUAAGAUGAAGAGCAAUUUUGGGAAACCGUGAGGUGAUGUGCACCACUUGGAUGGAAGUAGAUGGGAGCAGAUGCUACAUGCUGAUAAAUCUCUAACUUUGAGUAGUUUUAGGUAGUCUCUCCUUCUUCAUCAUGAAUAGAUGGAACACAUGUGUUAGAAGGAGAGCCAAAUGCUAUUUGCCACCAGAUUCUUUAGCUUAGAUCCUUGAAUUGUUUAGCAAAUACUUAUACUACCUGUACCAGAAGGACCUUUUAGUUCCUCUUGCAGUGUUUUGUAGCUUUUCCAGAUUUGGGCUAAAUCUUGUGGUCACAUUCUGGGAUGUAGAGAAACUGUAGGGUUAAAAGCCAUUACUACUAAGAACAAAUUACUCUGUGGCCAACACAAUCUUAGGGAAUAUUGAAUUAGCUAUAAUCUGUAGCCGAGAAGAUGAGUUAGUCCCGAAAAUCCAUUCUUCCCUUCUUCAUUUAGUAAAUACAAAGCACAUGCUUUUGGUGGCACAUGGCUAAAGAGCACAUUUCCCAGAUUCCCUGGCAGCUAGAUGUGAUUAAAUGAUAAAUUCAAUGAGCAGAAUCAAAGUUUCAAGCUACCUCCUUAAAGCAAGCACCUUUCUCUCUCCCCCAACUCCCCUGCUAGUUGGGAUACAGACCCAGCAGGUGUGGUGGUGAGGUGUCUGUG
ensembl:lncRNA